AGAGCUCAAAUUUGAAAGCUGGCGUCUUCGGCGUCCGCGUUGUAAUCUCGAGACGUGUUUUCCGUGCGGCUCUAUGGACAAGUCCCUUGGAACAGGGCAUCGUAGAGGGUGAAAAUCCCGUACUUGCCAUGGAAGUACCGUGCUUUGUGAUACACGCUCCAAGAGUCGAGUAGUUUGGGAUUGCUGCUCAAAGUGGGUGGUAGACUCCAUCUAAAGCUAAAUAUCGGGGAGAGACCGAUAGCGAACAAGUACCGUGAGGAAAAGAUGAAAAGCACUUUGGAAAGAGAGUUAAAAGUACGUGAAAUUGUCGAAAGGGAAGCACUUGAAGUCAGCCAUGCUGCUUGAGACUCAGCCUGGCUUUUGCUUGGGGUAUUUCUCGGUAGCAGGCCAGCAUUGGUUUGUGUCGUCGGAGAAGCGUAUGGGGAAUGUGG
rnacentral:rRNA from 1 species